CUAUACAUGACUCUGCGCAUAUCAAUAAGCGGAGGAAAAGAAACUAACAAGGAUUCCCCUAGUAACGGCGAGUGAAGCGGGAAGAGCUCAAAUUUGAAAUCUUCAAGGGUUUCCCUUGACGAAUUGUAGUUUAAAGAAGUGUUUUCUGUUAGAGAGUUUGGUAAAAGUUCUUUGGAAUAGGACAUCAUAGAGGGUGAGAAUCCCGUAUUUGAUCAUUUCUUCUAGCUGUGUGAUACACUUUCAAAGAGUCGGAUUGUUUGGGAAUGCAGUCCAAAAUGGGUGGUAAAUUUCAUCUAAAGCUAAAUAUUGGCGAGAGACCGAUAGCGAACAAGUACCGUGAGGGAAAGAUGAAAAGAACUUUGAAAAGAGAGUUAAACAGUACGUGAAAUUGUCAAAAGGGAAGCGUUUGACACCAGUGUUGUUUUCUCGAAAAUCAAUUAAAAUGACCGGAUUUUGUGUUGUAUUGACUUUAUCAGCUUUCUGUCUAGCUUUUUCUUGUCUUUUGUGAAUGCACUUUUCGUUUAACAAGUCAACAUCAAUUUCUUUUGUUGUAAAAGGGUCAUUGAGGAAGGUGGCUUUCAGUUUCGGUGAAAGUGUUUAUAGCCUUUAACUCUGCAGUCGGAGAGAUUGAGGUCUGCAGCGUAGAUCCUUCGGGGUUAGAUACAUUUGUGCUAAGUUAUAGCUUUUCAUAGACAACUUGUUGACUAUGUUUAGUCUUGUAGCUUACUCGCUUAUGCUAUUUUACCUACGCUUAGGAUGUUGAUAUGCAUGACUGAUAU
rnacentral:rRNA from 1 species